rnacentral:rRNA from 1 species
AUGGCGUACUCCUCCUGUUUGAAUCGGAGUUUGAAACCAAACAAACUUCUCCUCAGGAGGAUAGAUGGGGCGAUUCAGGUGAGAUCCCAUGUAGAUCUAACUUUCUAUUCACUCGUAGGAUCCGGGCGGUCCGGGGGGGGGCACCACGGCUCCUCUCUUCUCGAGAAUCCAUACAUCCCUUAUCAGUGUAUGGAGAGCUAUCUCUCGAGCACAGGUUGA